UUUGCAUGGUCCAACAAGUCCUCCACCGCUGGUGAACUUUGAGAAAAAUCGUAUUUUGCACGGCUAAAUGUAAACGGGAAUAUUAGUGGAGUAUUAACUUUUCUUUAGCCAUGUAAACAGCUUAGUCGGAAUAUCGUUUUUUUCGAAAUAAGGGCAAAAACUGGAAUAUUACAUGCAUGUAAACUUCGGCACUGUUAUGGG